rnacentral:rRNA from 1 species
GACGAACGCUGGCGGCGUGCCUAAUACAUGCAAGUAGAACGCAGUUGCGAACGGGUGAGUAACGCGUAGGUAACUGCCUCAUAGCGGGGGAUAACUAUUGGAAACGAUAGCUAAUCCCCCAUACUGUGAGAUGGACCUGCGUUGUAUUAGCUAGUUGGUGGGGUAAAGGCUCACCAAGGCGACGCUACAUAGCCGACCUGAGAGGGUGAUCGGCAACACUGGGACGGAGACACGGCCCAGACUCCUACGGGAGGCAGCAGUGGGGAAUGUUGGGAAAUGGACGGAAGCCUGACGCAGCAAGGCCGCGUGUGUGAAGAAGGUUUUGGGGUUGUAAAGUCCUGUGGGUGGGGAGCGGUAAACAACCAGAAAGGGACGGCUAACUACGUGCCAGCAGCCGCGGUAAUAC